AGGCAACUCUAAAGAUUCCAGAGUUUACCCAGAGACAUGGGUAGGUUGGGGCAAAGGAAUGUGAUCUGACAUACUUUAGAAGAAUGACUUAUGAAGGGAACCGACUGUAUCAUGGUAAAGAUUCCAGAGUUUACCCAGAGACAUGGGUAGGUUGGGGCAAAGGAAUGUGAUCUGACAUACUUUAGAAGAAUGACUUAUGAAGGGAACCGUCUGUAUCACGAAGGCUGCAUAUUACUGAGAGAGAAGAAGCAUCUGCAAAUGGCACAAAGGAAGAAAAAAGUCAAAUGGGGAUAGCCAAGUAAGACUGAUUCUUGCUUACCAGGACUAACGAAGAACUCAUUUCACUGAUAUGUUGUUGUCCCAUGCAGCCAGAGGAAACAUUUGCAUAGGGAGAAGCAACAGCAAGGAAGAAAAUAAUUUAGAUACCAGAAAAAAUAAAUGAGGAGAAGGGGGAAGGAAACAUAAAUAAUACUUUCACACAAGCAUCUCCGUUUUUUGAUAAAAAUGUCACACAUACAAAAUUAUAUAUUAUAAUUAUCCAUUCAUUAAACAUAGUAGUGUGAAAGUGAUAAUUAAAGUAGGAGUUCCUAAAAUAAAGUUACAUAAUAAAAACACUGAUAUUUAGAAAAAAUAUUCUUAAAUAUCAUGAAAAUAUUUAUCAGUGAUGCAAACAGUCACAAGAAGAAUAAGGAACCAUUUUAGUUAAGUGAAAAUACUAAUAAGUAAACAUCUGCAAGACACAGAAGGAAGAAAAAUAUCAUUUUAAGGCAAAUAAAACUAUUCUAUAUUUUUGAAUUAAAUUCAUUUUAAAUUCUAGUUAAAUUUUCAUUCUAAGAGAGCCAUUCUAUUCCAUGAAGUUACCUCCUGUAUGUGCUAAUUUGAAGAGAAGGUCAAAUUUAGACUUUAAUUAACAGUCUAUGUGGAAGCAAAAAGGGAAGGGGCAGAGCUAGAAAAAAAGUUAAAGGAUUAUAUUUGAUUUAAGAAAAGAUUUAUAAAUUACAACCCAAAGCUAGGUACUUGUUGCCCCUUUUCUACAGUCUAAGCAAGCUACCCUAAGUCUUCCCACUGGUCUCAUUGCUUCUACUCUUUUACUUGUCUGUUCUAUUAACCAGAUGAAUUACAGACAGAGAAAUUAUUGUAAAACAUGAUGUGGAUACUCAUUCUCUUGUUAAAGACCCUCAACCACUUCCCUGUGUCAUUGUAAUAAAACUCUAACUCCUCAGUAAGUCCUUGUAUUCUGG